GAGUUUGAUUCUGGCUCAGAUGAACGCUGGCGGCGUGCCUAAUGCAUGCAAGUCGAGCGACGCAUAUCGGAGGGUAACCCACUGCUAUGACGACAGAGCGAACGGGUGAGUAACACGUGAGUACCCUGCCCCACAGAACUGAUGUAUAGGUCCCAGGGAAACCCUGGAUUAAUACCGGGAUAUUCUCCUAGAACCUCAUGGUCUGGUUGAGGAAAUGCCCUUGUGCUGUGGGAUGACUCGCGGCUUAUCACUAGUGGGGGGUAACGGCUACCAAGCGUCGACAAUACUGUCUGAAGGACAUCGCCCAACUGGUACUGAAAACCGCCUAAUUCUAAAGGAGAGACCCAGGAUCUUGGCAAAAGGCCGAUCCUGGAAAAAAACUCGAGUAGAUUACGGCUUUUUUUUUUUUAACCAUCGAAAGUACAAGUAGGGGUUUCUUUUAGGGACGAAGGAUCGUGGGGUAGGCGGGGUUUUUUUUUUUUGGAG
rnacentral:rRNA from 1 species